GACGGACGCUGGCGGCGCGCUUAACACAUGCAAGUCGAACGGAGCGAACGGAAGGAAGCCUUCGGGCGGAAUUCCGUGAGCUUAGUGGCGAACGGGUGAGUAACGCGUGAGCAACCGGUCCCAAAGAGGGGGACAACUUUGAGAAAUCAAGGCUAAUACCGCGUAAGACCACACUGCCGCAUGGCAGAGGGGUCAAAGGAGAAAUCCGCUUUGGGGAGGGCUCGCGUCUGAUUAGGUAGUUGGUGAGGUAACGGCUCACCAAGCCGACGAUCAGUAGCCGUGCUGAGAGGCAGGCCGGCCACACUGGAACUGAGACACGGUCCAGACUCCUACGGGAGGCAGCAGUGGGGAAUCUUGGGCAAUGGGGGAAACCCUGACCCAGCGACGCCGCGUGAGGGAAGAAGGUCUUCGGAUUGUAAACCUUUGUGACAGGGGACGAAGGAAGUGACGGUACCCUGUGAGGAAGCCCCGGCUAACCUACGUGCCAGCCGCCGCGGGUAAC
rnacentral:rRNA from 1 species